rnacentral:rRNA from 1 species
CCUACGGGUGGCAACAGUAGGGAAUAUUGCUCAAUGGGCGAAACCCUGAACCAGCAACGCCGCGUGGAGGCUGAAUGUUUUCGGAUUUUUAACUCCUUUUGUUAGAGAAGAUAAUGAAGGUAUCUAACGAUUAAGCACCGGCUAACUCCGAGACAGCUGCGGCGGUAAUACGGAGGGUGCAACCGUUCUUCGGAAUCACUGGGCGUAAAGAGCGCGUAGGCGGGAUAGAAAGUCAGUUGUGAAAUUCUAUGGCUUAACCAUAGAAUUGCAUUUGAAACUGUUAUUCUAGAGUAUAGGAGAGGUAGGUGGAAUUCGUGGUGUAGGGGUAAAAUCCUUAGAGAUCAAGAAGAAUACUCAUUGCGAAGGCGACCUGCUAGAACAUAACUGACGCUGAUGCGCGAAAGCGUGGGGAUCAAACAGGAUUAGAUACCCGUGUAGUC